rnacentral:snoRNA from 1 species
AAUCGAUUGUUUUUCAUGCACACACACUUAACAAUAUUACAUGAUAAACUGUCCUAGAUCAAAUUAUGCUUCUGCUCAGACUUGCUGAGAUUUUAUUGUCUUUGAAGCUGGUGUAGUAGUCUAAAGCACAUU